ensembl:lncRNA
GGAAGGAGGGAGGCAGAAAGCUCCUGGUAGUGGGUUGAACAGUGUUCCCCAAAUUCAUGUCCAUCCAGAACUUCAGCGUCUGACCUUACUUGCAAAUAAGUCUUUGCAAAGAUAAUUAGUUAAGGAUCUAGAAAGGAUCAUAUGGGGUUAGGGUGGGUCCCAAAUCCAAAAGCUGGUACCCUUCUAAGAGAAGAGGAAACAGACACAGGGAGACAAAGACGAUGUGCAGCUGGGGGCAGAGACUGGAGUUACGCUGCCACAAGCCAACGAAGCCAGGAGCCAUGAGAAGCUGCAAGAGCCUGGUUUCCUGGGUUUUAUCCAGCUUCUUCAAGAUGUGAUGAAUCAGAUCAAUUUUGAGCAAAUCUCAGUCUGCUCUGCAUGAGAACAGUCUUCAUUCACUCACACAACAAUUGUUUACUGAUAUCCUACCAACCACCAAGCAUAUGCUCAAGGAAAUCCUAGUAAGGAACAUGGAACUAAGUCACCAUCAACCAGAAGAGUUCAGGAAAGGUCAAAAGGAGACACCACGUGUCCAACCACCUCCUAGAAUGCUUCUCGCUGGCAUCCAUCUUGGCUGAGCAAUGCAUGUGCCACCAGGAAGGAUUCUGAGUCAGAUGAUUGGUCAAAGAAAACCCGGAAACUAAUCCCAUCACCAUAAAACCCGAGACUGCGAGCCACGUGGCAGAGCAGUUCUCCUGGGUUCCCUUACCCUGCUGCCCUCCACCCAGGCGCCCUUCCCAAUAAAGUCUCUUGCUUUG